GGACAAUCAUCCAAUGAGAACUGAGCAAAACCUCACACCAAAUCAGCUUUGGGAAGUAGGACAGAUGGUGCAUCCAGUUGUUGACCCAGAGGAGGUGCAAAUUCCCUACAUACAGUGGGAGGACAGUGGUUUUCUUCCUGAUCCACAUGCCGAAGUGCGGGUACCAGAACUGGGCAGCCCACUCACAGACGAGCAAAUGGAGCUGCUGCGGGAACACAUUAACCCUCUACAACCUUCAGAGUCUAGUGGCAUGGACAUUUACUUGCAUACAGUGCAGUAUGUGGAAUCAUUACUUGAGACAAGUUAGAUGCUAUGUAGAUUGCAUUAUGUUGUUAAUGAUGAAAGCAUUUCCCCAACUAUUUGUUUAAAAAGGCCAUUUGCAUAAGUAUACCCAUAGAUUGACUACUGCAAAAGCAAAUAAAUAAAUAACAAUAUGCUUUAAUUAGUAACUACAUUGAUCUUUUGCAUUAGAGACUGAUGGAAAAAACUUUCUAAACAUGUAUGCCAACAUCACUGAAAACUUUAAUAUGUAAAUAAAAUUAAUUUCACAGUGAACUUCCAGAUGUUGAUUGUUUCCAGCUUUCUUGGUAGUAAAGAAUUCAGCUUCCUACAUAUCACCUGUGAAAGUUGAGUGUGAGACAAAGGCAUAUUUCAGUAUGGACAGAAAAACACAAUAAAAAUAUUUACUGAAUGGACUUUAAUGUACACCUCAAUGCACAGAAGGGGCAGAUUAACCAUUUUUAUGAUUGCCCCAAACUUUUUUGGAAACUCAACAAAUUGGCCACAGAGUUAAAUGGGUGGUUGAGAAAUCUUUCUAGCUCAAAAAGUUUUAAGUACUUCAAAUAGGUACUUCCAGGAAUAUACAUUUUUCA